rnacentral:rRNA from 1 species
UACGAAGGGGGCUAGCGUUGCUCGGAAUCACUGGGCGUAAAGCGCACGUAGGCGGCUCUUUAAGUCAGGGGUGAAAUCCUGGAGCUCAACUCCAGAACUGCCUUUGAUACUGGGGAUCUCGAGUCCGGAAGAGGUGAGUGGAACUCCGAGUGUAGAGGUGAAAUUCGUAGAUAUUGGGAAGAACACCGGUGGCGAAGGCGGCGACCUGGUCCGUGACUGACGCUGAGGCGCGAAAGCGUGGGGAGCAAACAGG